rnacentral:hammerhead_ribozyme from 1 species
AUCUAGCUGAUGAGUCCAAAAUAGGAUGAAACUCACGUUAAACUGGAU